rnacentral:rRNA from 1 species
ACGGUAACAUUUCUAGCUUGCUAGAAGAUGACGAGUGGCGGACGGGUGAGUAAUGCUUGGGAACUUGCCUUUGCGAGGGGGAUAACAGUUGGAAACGACUGCUAAUACCGCAUAAUGUCUACGGACCAAACGGGGCUUAGGCUCCGGCGCAAAGAGAGGCCCAAGUGAGAUUAGCUAGUUGGUAAGGUAAUGGCUUACCAAGGCAACGAUCUCUAGCUGUUCUGAGAGGAAGAUCAGCCACACUGGAACUGAGACACGGUCCAGACUCCUACGGGAGGCAGCAGUGGGGAAUAUUGCACAAUGGGGGAAACCCUGAUGCAGCCAUGCCGCGUGUGUGAAGAAGGCCUUCGGGUUGUAAAGCACUUUCAGUUGUGAGGAAAAGUUAGUAGUUAAUACCUGCUAGCCGUGACGUUAACAACAGAAGAAGCACCGGCUAACUCCGUGCCAGCAGCCGCGGUAAUACGGAGGGUGCGAGCGUUAAUCGGAAUUACUGGGCGUAAAGCGCACGCAGGCGGUUUGUUAAGCUAGAUGUGAAAGCCCCGGGCUCAACCUGGGAUAGUCAUUUAGAACUGGCAGACUAGAGUCUUGGAGAGGGGAGUGGAAUUCCAGGUGUAGCGGUGAAAUGCGUAGAUAUCUGGAGGAACAUCAGUGGCGAAGGCGACUCCCUGGCCAAAGACUGACGCUCAUGUGCGAAAGUGUGGGUAGCGAACAGGAUUAGAUACCCUGGUAGUCCACACCGUAAACGCUGUCUACUAGCUGUUUGUGACUUUAAGUCGUGAGUAGCGAAGCUAA